UACGGAGGAUCCAAGCGUUAUCCGGAAUCAUUGGGUUUAAAGGGUCCGUAGGCGGUUUGGUAAGUCAGUGGUGAAAGCCCAUCGCUCAACGGUGGAACGGCCAUUGAUACUGCCAGACUUGAAUUAUUAGGAAGUAACUAGAAUAUGUAGUGUAGCGGUGAAAAUGCUUAGAGAUUACAUGGAAUACCAAUUGCGAAGGCAGGUUUACUACUAAUGGAUUGACGCUGAUGGACGAAAAGCUGGGUAGCGAAACAGG
rnacentral:rRNA from 1 species